rnacentral:rRNA from 1 species
UACGUAGGGUGCGAGCGUUGCUCGGAAUCACUGGGCGUAAAGGGUGCGUAGGCGGGUCUUUUAAGUCAGGGGUGAAAUCCUGGAGCUCAACUCCAGAACUGCCUUUGAUACUGAGGAUCUUGAGUUCGGGAGAGGUGAGUGGAACUGCGAGUGUAGAGGUGAAAUUCGUAGAUAUUCGCAAGAACACCAGUGGCGAAGGCGGCUCACUGGCCCGAUACUGACGCUGAGGCACGAAAGCGUGGGGAGCAAACAGG